rnacentral:lncRNA from 1 species
UUCUCUGAUUCCACUGAAAAAUCAGUGAAGGACAUUGCAAGCCAGAAUAAGAUCCAGUACAUUAAAAUUUUCAGUUCAUACAUACACCAAAAUCCAUCCAAAUAAAAUCAGAAAUUCUCUGAAUUUUUAGUGUACCACAUACACCACUAGUAUGCAAAUAACUUAACUAAUUACUUUGAGCUGAAAAAUAAGUCAACUAAUAAGGACCACCUCCAGCACAGAAACUUCCUACCUGACCAAAGAAUCACCGCCAGACUCAAUAUCAAUCACCUCUACUGUCUUGGUGGAAUCAUCAUUGGAAUUGUUCUCUCUUGCAGAAGAGGGGUCAUUUUCAAUAUUUUCACAUAUACACGUAGCCCGGUUGUCAUAGAAUCGCCUCUUUCCAGCACGACUUCCAUGGCAUCUCCCGUAGGUCCUUUCUGAAUUACUUGCACCUGUGCCCAGCAUUCAUCCCAUGACAUAUCUCCCCUGUUUAUAAAUAAGCUGUAGAGUUGUUUAACAUUUUCUUGUGGCCAAUAUAUCUCGUGCGAAAAACAGUUUCAUAAUUUAGAAUGAACUAAGACGAGCACGAAUGUAUAUAGUGAACAAGGAUGUGCAACAACAAGUAUUCUGUCCAUGUUGCAAUUAUUUUCAGAAUCAGUUCCAUCAUAGAUAAAAUCAAUUGAAGUCACGAGAGAUGAGUAUGAAACACAUAAUGCAAACCGACUAAGAUAACCGAAGAUCACAUCGUAACUAACGUAAGAAGCAAAUGGGCAUUUGACUACUAUAAAUCAGAGCAAAAGUGUCAGGGGCAUGCUUGCCUUGGGAGUUCAGCAGACACCUCUCCAUAGAGGUUACUUUGCUUGGCACUGCCCUCGCCGUAAGCCCGUCACGGGAUCGGUAACUGCUUGUACGAGUACUAGUAAUAACACCAAGAAUCAUCAUAGCAUUCCGCUACAUUACAUUCAGAAGGAAAGAAUUAUUGCAUUAAUGCAUAAGCCAUUUAGAGCGGCACUGACUACUUCUGUACCAACCAUGCCAAUCGAGAUUGAGAGAUUUAGGGAACUCGAAUCCAGAUAUGAACUGCAAACCUGCGUUUCCAUCCUCCAGCCGACUGAUAUGAACUAGAAUUGCACAGAGAUACAGCUCCCUGGAUCAACACCUGCGUUUCUAUCCACCACCCAGUGGUUAUGUACAAGACUUUGAAUCGCCAUGGCCGGACUUGGGGUGCAUCAGUUGUUCGUAUGUCAGGAGAAAUCAGAACGGAUGAACUAGGAGUACCAUCCACCACAUUGGAU